UAGCAUUCGUUUUAUUGAUGUACUCAAAAGUGUUUCAUUUCCAAACGGAUUGGCUGUCUACAUUAAAUGAUGGUAUUAAAUAUACAUUAAUCUUUCUCUUUCUGCCUCCCUCCUUCCUUUUUCUUUCUUUCUUUCUUUCUUUCUUUCUUUCUUUCUUUCUUUCCAACCUAAGCAACGUUAGCCUAAAGAUCUGUAUACUGGUAUAGAACUGCGCUGUGAGAUCGCAGGCGUAAAAUACAUUAUCGGGGGCAGACCCUGCUUUGCGACUUACUUGUGAGUAAAAAGUGGGUAAAACGGUUCUCCAAGGAGCGCGGCUAAAACUGCUGGAUUCGAUUCUGCACCUUUCCUCGGAGCUCCUCUCUCCUCUAAAGGGACCCUACUUAGGCCUCUUCGGUCUUCCUUGAUCAGCCCUGGACAUGUGUUCCCCAUUUAGACAAAAAGAAACUUUUCACACAUCACAAAACAGCCCAGCUCGGAGUGGAGUGGACGCUUGUGAUCGGAAUGCAAGGGAGGCCAAACAGAUCUGCAGGGGAACGUGGGAUGACCGGUUGAUAUCCUCUGACCCAUUCAGGCAUCAUCCAUACACAACUUCAGAGAAGAUCUGUUCAAAGCAGCUGAUGGAUGAGUGACUGCCACGGGCAAAGAUUUCAUCCAGAUACAAAUUUUUGCCAACAGUUUGUCCAAUAAAUAUAUUUUUUGUCCACCA
rnacentral:lncRNA from 1 species